GCCGCGGUGGUGGAACUGGCAGACACGUACGACUCAAAAUCGUAUGGGCUCACGCCCAUGAGAGUUCAAGUCUCUCCCGCGGCACCA
rnacentral:tRNA from 1 species